rnacentral:rRNA from 1 species
GAUGAACGCUGGCGGCGUGCCUAAUACAUGCAAGUCGAGCGAACGGACGAGAAGCUUGCUUUUCUGAUGUUAGCGGCGGACGGGUGAGUAACACGUGGAUAACCUACCUAUAAGACUGGGAUAACUUCGGGAAACCGGAGCUAAUACCGGCUAAUAUUUUGAACCGCAUGGUUCAAAAGUGAAAGACGGUCUUGCUGUCACUUAUAGAUGUAUCCGCGCUGCAUUAGCUAGUUGGUAAGGUAACGGCUUACCAAGGCAACGAUGCAUAGCCGACCUGAGAGGGUGAUCGGCCACACUGGAACUGAGACACGGUCCAGACUCCUACGGGAGGCAGCAGUAGGGAAUCUUACGCAAUGGGCGAAAGCCUGACGGAGCAACGCCGCGGGAGUGAUGAAGGUCUUCGGAUCGUAAAACUCUGUUAUUAGGGAAGAACAUAUGUGUAAGUAACUGUGCACAUCUUGACGGUACCUAAUCAGAAAGCCACGGCUAACUACGUG